GUGGUCGCCAUGGAGACAUGUUAUUGCAUUGAGCCACAAUGGCCUGCUGAUGAGCUGUUGAUGAAGUAUCAGUAUAUCUCUGAUUUCUUCAUUGCGCUUGCAUACUUCUCGAUCCCAUUGGAGCUCAUCUACUUCGUAAAGAAAUCUGCAGUGUUUCCUUAUAGAUGGGUUCUUGUUCAGUUUGGUGCUUUCAUUGUUCUUUGUGGGGCAACACAUCUUAUU
rnacentral:misc_RNA from 1 species